rnacentral:rRNA from 1 species
GGUAAAAAAGCUCGUAGUUGGAUUUCUGUUGAAGACGACCGGUCCAUACCACGUAUGCGCAUCUGGUUCGGCUUCGGCAUCCUCUCGAAAGACGUUUCUGCGCUUGAUUGCGUGGAGCGGAUCUCGGGACUUUUACUUUGAGGAAAUUAGAGUGUUCACGGCAGGCUAUCGCCAGAAUACAUUAGCAUGGAAUAAUACUAUAGGAUCUCGGUUCUAUUUUGUUGGUUUCUAGAAUUGAGAUAAUGAUUAAUAGGGACAAUUGGGGGCAUUCGUAUCAACACGUUAGAGGUGAAAUUCUUGGAUCGUGUUGCGACGAACUACUGCGAAAGCAUUUGCCAAGGAUGUUUUCAUUGAUCAAGAACGAAAGUAAGGGGAUCGAAGACGAUUAGAUACCGUCGUAGUCUUUACCAUAAACUAUGCCAACUAGAGAUGGGACAUCGUUCACUUAAGACUUGUUCCGCACCUUAUGAGAUAUCAAAGUCUUUGGGUUCCGGGGGGAGUAUGGUCGCAAGUCUGAAACUUAAAGGAAUUGACGGAAGGGCACCACCAGGAGUGGAGCCUGCGGCUUAAUUUGACUCAACACGGGGAAACUCACCAGGUCCAGACAUAAUAAGGAUUGACAGAUUGAUAGCUCUUUCUUGAUUUUAUGGGUGGUGGUGCAUGGCCGUUCUUAGUUCGUGGAGUGAUUUGUCUGCUUAAUUGCGUUAACGA